rnacentral:lncRNA from 1 species
AUCUAAUUUAUUUCUCACUUGGUUGUUGUCAUUAGUAAGAUCCUACAUAAAAAAGCAUUGAGAGUUUUAGGAGGCAUUUAGUAAUGUUAGCUCCUUUCUACUUGUACUGUAGUAAUGCAUUCUUUAGGAUCAAGUUCCCCCGACAGUGAGUUGUCUGAAAUGAAGAAAGCUAAAGUCAUUCCAACAUUCCAAGUCAUUAUGUAGGAAAGCCUCAGUGCCUGGAGAAGCUAGACCUGGCAGGUGGUAGAUGCUCACUAAAUGCACAUUUAUUAAUGAUUUUAUGGGAUUUUACUUCAUUGGGGAGAGGGGAACCCCUGUAGGUUGGCCUGUGAGACCUGUGAGUGAGUGGUCUCUUAGUUUGCCCAUUUGCAGAGUUGGCUUUGUCUGCUUAUUAUUCUCCCAAUUAUGAAGGAUUGGCGAGAUGAUCAAAUGUCAUUAGUAAAUUACAAAUAAGAGGUUGGUGCUUGUAGGGCUGUUAAGUCAGCCUGGCUGCUGAGAGCCAUUUAGUGUCUUGGAAUGGGCAAUUUGUUAAAUGACACAUAAGAAAGUUGAAAGAAUUAAUGUUCCUCUCCAAGGAGCAAUUUAUUCCUUUUUUUUUUUAAUUCAUUCAGCCUAAAUAUUUAUUCACAGCCUUGGGUUCCUUGUAAGAGAGAAGCUAUAAAAAACAAUAUGAUCAUCUUCUCUUUAUUUUCUUAUUUAGAGCCAUAAGACCCGAGGAAGAAGCAUAAUAGGCAGGAUGGAUAGUAGCACCCCUAGAGGAAUUCUGUGGGUAAUAGAAGCUGCCAAACUGAAUACAAGAAAUCACACAUGACACGUACAGCAUUGGGAAAAUAUUUGAAUCUGCAUAGAAGUUUGUCAGAUGCAUGAUGGCUAAACCUGCUAUACUUUUCCUAAUGAAGAUUGUUCCAGGCUUCAUGGAUGAAGAGCAAACAGGACAGAGUUCUGUUCAUCUUGGGCUUAUCCACAUGCCAAAUCCUGGCUUCCAGCCUUAUCCCUCUGUUCCAACUCCCUUAUUGUCUCCACUUUGGCAUCUUCUUAAUGAAUAGCUAUUUAAAAACCAACCAGAAAGGACACGCAAGUCUCGAAUCAAGGCAACUUGUUGAUGGAAGAAGACACACUAUCAGAAGAGGAGUGUCAAGGAGUAGAAUUGCUGAAGAUGGAACAUACAAAGCACCCAGAUGGAUUUGUGGUGGCUUGAGGACAAGGUUUCAGCAGGAGAUUAUACUAAUCACCGACUCGAUGGGCCUGUGAGCUUGAGUUCUACGUAGGUGUGCAGUCAUGCCAAUUUGCUAAGAAUGCACAAGCAUGCUACGAUGGUGAUGAUGGUCCCUGGAGUAGUGAAACAUGACAGUCCUGUGGGUUCAUGCUACCUGGAGGAGGGAGAAUGGUACCAUUCCCUUUAUAUUUUUAUGUAUUUCAUUUGUUUGUCUUACCUAAUUGUGUUGGCUAGUUCCUCCAGAACAAUAUAAUAAUGACAGUGGAAUCAUUUGAUGUGUUUACCUUAUUCUUGACUUCAGUGGGGACAGUGCCACUAUUGUUUCCUUUAAAGCAUGAUCAUGUUCAAGAUAUAUUGAGUUCUUUCUACUUAUUUUAAGUUUUUUCUUGUUUUUAACCAGGGGUAGGGGAGAAUUUUGAGUAUAGUUUAGUUUGAAACCAUAGGUAUCACCAUGCAAGAAAGGCAACUGUAUAUAUAGAAAAAGAAAAGGACCAGGAGUUCAACCUGAGGAAACACCUGUAAUUUAAAGGUGGAAGGAGAAAGGAAAUAAAGAAGCAAUGGGAGGAGAGUCCA